AUUUCAUUUGUUUAUUUAUAAAAUCACACGUACUUAAAUCAAACUUAAGAACAUCACCGCCGCCCUUGUGGAUAAUUAUCGUACUCUACAUUCACUCAUUUUCAACAACACAAAUUCGACGUAAACGCCCAUCUCGAUCGUCCUUUUUGUAUAUAGCUCCAUUGCUCGACUAAUCAACAAAGGUAAAAUGUUGUUUACAAUCUAUUUUUUAAAUCUAUUUCUACGAUUCAUUGGAUAAUACAAAAAAUGUUAUUGUAAAUUGUCUUCGGUGAAAAUGUAGAUGCAAGCGCUCUCUACAUAGAAAUAAACAUAGCAAUUAAAAUUGUUAGCGCAUUUUGCCGCCAAAAAGUUGUAGAUGUUGCGCGCCCUAAGUUCUAAUUAAUAUUAUUUAUAAUUAUUUGGAUAGUAAAUUUGUAAAUAUGUUCUCGACGAUGAAGGAUCUUACUCAUUAUUUUCAAGACAAUGUCAAAUCCCGUGAACCAUGCCCAAAUACGUCUGAAUUAAAUAAUAUAUAUAAAUUAAAGGAUGGAUCAGAAUAUUCUUGUAGAAAAAAACGUACUCGUGUCAAAAUCAAGAUAUCUCGUAGAAAUUCGAGUAGCAGGGUAUGCAAUAUCGUUGAGAAUAAAAAUGAUUUAAUCGAUAAAACUCCAAGUCCAUUUUCUAAAUCGUUGGGAAAAAAAGAAAGAGCUGCAAGCAGUGAAAGAUCGACAAGAGAGGUUAAGGAGAAAGAAAAUAAAGAUAGUAUUGGAAAAACGAAAGAAGAAAUACUUCCAAAAGUUAAUAUUAAUUAUAUAUUAAUAGAAUCGGAUAGCGAUACUGAAGCGUUAGAAAGCGAGAUAAAUGGUAAGUUUUCUUUAUCUACAGACAAACAAAAUUCAAUGCAAUCUCAAAUGGAAUGUAGUAUAGAAAAUUAUAAUGGAUUCAAAUGUAAUACUGCACCUAGAAGCAAUAAUCAAAUUAAUAAAGAAACAAUUCAAGCAGGUAUCGUUUAUGAGCCUAUUAAUGAACAUAAACAAUCUAAUGCAUUUCAAGUUCUUAUGAAUCCAAAUAAAUCAAUAGACAAUAUUUCAUUGGUGCACCCUUCGUUGAAAAAUGAUACUUCCUCCGAAUCAAAAUUAUUACUUAUGAAAGACAUAAAAAGUCAUUCAAAGAGAAAACUUACCAAUACAGAAGAUGAUAAGAAAAUAGAAGAAAUUCCAGAAAAACGUUUGAAACGAUUUAAAGAAAAUGCUAAGAAAGAUAAUUAUCCUACAACAAAUAAUUUAUUAAAUUUUCUCAGCAAAUCGGCAAUAGGACUAGAAAAAAAAGAUAAAAUAGAAGUUAACACGUCUACUAUAGUUGUAGAAGCCGAUGUACAUAUGUCAGAAGAACCUAUGGUAAAUUCAUUAACUAACGUAGCAAAAACUAAAUCAGAUUCUGUAUACAAGAAAAUGGGCAAUAAAAAUAUUCAAUCAGAAUAUUCGAACAUACAAACGGAAUAUUCAAAUGUAGAUAAAAUAGAUUUAAUAAAAUUGGAAGAAAUGAAACAAAAUUUAUGCGUAGAGGAAAAUCCACGAUUGUUGCAACGUGAUAAACCUAAAUGGUCUUUAAGAAUUAAAAUGCUAUCUCCAAAAAGUAAGGAAUCUUCAUCCGAUAGCGACGAAGAAAUGUUAUAUUCUCCGAUAAGUAAAAUCAAAUGUAAGAUGAAAGAUAAAAAACUAUCUAAAACAUCAAGUAAUAAUAUCAACGAGUGUGCAAGAUUAUCUUUAAAAAUAAAUGGUCAAGAAAAUAAUUCUGACAAGCUGACUACUUCUCUUAACCAUGCAACGCAAAAUGAUUUUACUGACGAUAUUAUUGUCGAAAAAGAAAUCAAAAAAUUAACAUGCAUAAACGAAUAUAGAAAUUUUAAUGAGAACUAUAUUAAUACAAAUACGAAGGAAAUUUCCAAGAAUUCGCAAAUUAUAGAUAGUAAUACUUUAAAAAGAGAACCUCAUAAAAAACUAGCGCCUCUUUUUACGAGACAAUCUAAGCCAAACGUUGUAACCGAGGCUGCAAAACGUUCAUUUUUUAAAUCGGAUACGAUUAAUAAUAGUAGUAAACAUGUGGAGAAAAAAGUACCUACUUGCAAUUUGACUUACUUUCCUUUUCCAAAAAUUAGUCAUAUCAAGCAAUUGAAUAAUAAAAUUCAAACUAACGACGAAUUACAUACGCAUAAAAUUCGAAUAAAACCAAAUAUGAAAUAUAUACCAAUGAUAUAUAAUGGUGAUAAUUAUAAAUAUAUUUCUCAAUCUCUUGAAUCAUUAAGUAAAUCUCAAAUAACUAUAAAUGCAUCGAUUGAACAAAAUACAGAGGAAGUAUUGGCAGAAAUAGAAAAGCAUUGCUCAGAUACUAGAAAUAUAUGGGAAACUAUUAAUUCUAUAGCAAAGAAUAAAUUUAACGUGGUACAAUCAGACAAAUCAAAAAGUAAGAGAACAAAAAAAGAUAUAACGAAAGAAUGCGAUAAAAAGCUGAUUGUAAACAAUAUUUGGACACAAAAAUAUAAACCGACUAAUAGUUGUCAAAUAGUUGGAAACGAAAAUGCUGCAAUAAAGCUAAGAGAUUGGCUAAGUCGCUGGAAAUUGUCUGUACAUAAAGAAGCUAGUAGCAGCGGGGAUGAAUUUUAUUCAUCAGAUUGUAGUUUUACGGGCAAACAGAAAAAUAAUCAAGUAGCUGUAUUAUUGGGGCCCCAUGGAAGUGGUAAAACUGCUGCUGUUUACGCCGUUACGGAAGAGCUUGGUUAUAGCGUAUUGGAAGUCAAUGCUUCGUCUAGAAGAACGGGAAAAAAAAUUUUUAAGGAACUCGACGAAGCAACUAAAUCACACCGAAUUAAAAAGAACGGAAGCAAAUCGUUAUUUAAGCCAAUUUUGAAAGAGGCAAAUAAUUCAUCACAAAAUUCCUUAAUUCUUUUAGAAGAUAUUGACUUAAUAUUUGAAGAAGAUGAAGGGUUUAUUUCUGCUAUAUCCCAAUUGGUGUCCAACACGAAACGUCCUAUUGUAAUGACGUGCAAAGAUGUUUGCCCUCAUUUAAAUAAAAUGGCUCCCGAACAAAAUCGAAUUUAUUUCCAAAAAGUAGUUGGUAAUAGAGCAUCAACUUUACUAAAAUUAAUUUCGUUAGCAGAAACAGGCUUUAAAAUUUCGUGCGAAUGUUUAGCAGAACUUCUACAGAAUGGGGAUUUAAGAAAAGCUUUACUGCAAUUGCAGUAUCUGCUAGUCUCGGGUUUCGCGCAUGUAAGUAAAUAUCCUUUUAAUUCGAGAAACUUUGUUUGGCAAGAUAUGAAGUAUUAUCUAUACCAGCCGGCUAUAAAAGAAACGAAAAAACAAAAAGCGAAAGGCUACGUAAAGAAUAAUAAUAGAAAUAUAUUAAAUAAUUUAGCCAGUCAGUUAGAUUAUUUAUCGUUGCUAUCAUCCUUAAUUGAGAUUAAUGAUCCUGCGCUCGAUAUAGUAUGUACCAAACCGCAGUCCAGUUUAUCUCUAAUGGAAGACACAACGCCAUACUCUGUUUCACAAAGUAUAAGUUCAGAAAUAGGAGAAUGGAUUAGUCGAAAGAUAAUUAAAGAAAAUCACUUAAUUGGUAAAAAUAGAAUCCCAUAUCAAGGCAGAUUAAGCCUAAAAAAGCAAUUAAAUGAAGGAGUCGAUAGUGCUUUAUCGCAAAUUACGUCUCAUACUUUAGACAAUCGAUGUAUUUCCUUAGAUUACUUACCAUGCGUUAGAACGAUAUGUAGAACAGAAGAAUAUCGAAUUGCGGCAAACAUUAAGAGAGGUAAUAGAUUUUUUCACUAUCUUAGUGGCUUCAAAUUGCCAGCUUCGUCGACAAAGCCUAAUAUUUUAUCGGCCGCGUGUAAAAUGCUACAAGAGAAAUCAUGAUACGAUAUCUCCUCAAUCAGAAUACAUAUAAUAUGCCUAUAUGAAUGGAUUUUUUUUAAGGGGAAUGGAAAGAAAUCCAUUAUUUUUUAUCUUAACACAUUGACAGCCGGUAACCUGAAAGACAUUUAAGGCCUGAGCGCCGGCCUUAUUCACUGAUCACUGAAUAGCACAGAAACCCGUGUUUUCGCGGGGCCGGCUGUUAAUGUAUUAACAAGAAGCUCUAUUAGUUCAUAUAAAUUUUUAAAUAAUCGUUCUUAUACUUUGAAAAAAUGUUGUAUAGGUUUUGAAUUGAAAAAGUCGUUGAGGUGAUUCUCUUAAUAUAAAUAAAAUAUAUAUCCUGUCCCUUUAAAAGAAUAAUAUAAAAUUAGUUAACAAUGCACCCAUCAUUUGUGAGUUUUUUAACAUUCAUUAAUGUUUAGAUCAAACAUAAUGCACUUCUUGAUUGUAUUAGAAAUCAGUUUAAGUUAUAUUACGCUCGACUAUAAUUAUUUGAAAGAUAUCAUUUUGCUGGCAUAAAAAAAUAAUAUUCAUUUUAAAACGCACGUUUUUGUCUUAUCGCUUAUAUUUUUUUUAAAUGCUUAACCCUUUCGCUACGAGCGUCGCCUAUAGACGGCGUCAUCUGCCUGACCUGAGACCCGCUCCGUACAGUGUCGCUACUCCGGCGGCACGGUGGUCCGUACAGCGGAGUCACUCCGACGGAGCACACUGCCGUAGCAAAAGGGUUAAUAAUCUUUGAAUUUUUCUUACAAAGACACUCCUCUUCUCAUUUUAUUAAAUAUAAAUAUAUAAAUAUAUAAAUAUAAAAUCGAUCAAUGCAAAGAACGUAGCGUUGUGUUUUUCAGGAGGGGAUUGUUUAGUGAUAAAUAAUAAGAUAUAUGGAUCAUGGGUACAGGUAUAAGCAAAAAAGAUUAGAAGAUGAAAUUCUUCCUAUGUAUUUUUUCCCAACAAUUUCUUUUUUAUUGCAAAUACUUGGUUUUUCCGUGAGAUUCACUGCGAAAUGUAAUAUUGAUAAAUAUUAAUGAAAAAUAUUUAUAAUAUUACAGCAUAUAUUUAUCGUUAGGUAGAAUGUAUGAA
rnacentral:misc_RNA from 1 species